UACGUAGGGGGCAAGCGUUAUCCGGAUUUACUGGGUGUAAAGGGAGCGCAGACGGCAGUGCAAGUCUGAAGUGAAAGCUCAGGGCUCAACCCUGGAACUGCUUUGGAAACUGUACAGCUAGAGUAUCGGAGGGGUAAGCGGAAUUCCUAGUGUAGCGGUGAAAUGCGUAGAUAUUAGGAGGAACACCGGUGGCGAAGGCGGCUUACUGGACGAUAACUGACGUUGAGGCUCGAAAGCGUGGGGAG
rnacentral:rRNA from 1 species